rnacentral:rRNA from 1 species
GACGAACCGUGCAAACGUUAUUCGGAAUCACUGGGCUUAAAGGGCGCGUAGGCGGGCUCCCAAGUCGGUGGUGAAAUCUUUCGGCCCAACCGGAAAAGUGCCGCCGAUACUGGGAGUCUCGAGGGAGGUGAGGGGUGCGAGGGAACUUCCGGUGGAGCGGUGAAAUGACGUAGAUAUCGGAAGGAACGCCGGUGGCGAAAGCGCUCGACCUGGACCUCUUCUGACGCUGAGGCGCGGAAAGCCAGGGGAAGCAAAGCGGGG